rnacentral:tRNA from 1 species
GCCGGUGUAGCUCAGCGGCAGAGCAGGUGAUUUGUAAUCACCAGGUCAGGGGUUCAAAUCCCCUCACCGGCU